AAGUUUUUCGGCCAGGGAUGUGCUCGCGGCCUAUCAGCUUGUUGGUGGGGUAAUGGCCUACCAAGGCUUCGACGGGUAGCCGGCCUGAGAGGGUGACCGGCCACACUGGGACUGAGACACGGCCCAGACUCCUACGGGAGGCAGCAGUGGGGAAUAUUGGACAAUGGGCGGAAGCCUGAUCCAGCAACGCCGCGUGAGGGAUGACGGCCUUCGGGUUGUAAACCUCUUUCAGUACCGACGAAGCGCCGAUGAUGGUGGUGACGGUAGGUACAGAAGAAGCACCGGCCAACUACGUG
rnacentral:rRNA from 1 species